rnacentral:rRNA from 1 species
CUUGACACUGAACAUUGAGCCUUGAUGUGUAGGAUAGGUGGGAGGCUUUGAAGUGUGGACGCCAGUCUGCAUGGAGCCGACCUUGAAAUACCACCCUUUAAUGUUUGAUGUUCUAACGUUGACCCGUGAUCCGGGUUGCGGACAGUGUCUGGUGGGUAGUUUGACUGGGGCGGUCUCCUCCUAAAGAGUAACGGAGGAGCACGAAGGUUGGCUAAUCCUGGUCGGACAUCAGGAGGAUAGUGCAAUG